rnacentral:rRNA from 1 species
GAUGAGCGCUGGCGGCGUGCCUAAUACAUGCAAGUCGAGCGAAUGGAUUAAGAGCUUGCUCUUAUGAAGUUAGCGGCGGACGGGUGAGUAACACGUGGGUAACCUGCCCAUAAGACUGGGAUAACUCCGGGAAACCGGGGCUAAUACCGGAUAACAUUUUGAACCGCAUGGUUCGAAAUUGAAAGGCGGCUUCGGCUGCCACUUAUGGAUGGACCCGCGUCGCAUUAGCUAGUUGGUGAGGUAACGGCUCACCAAGGCAACGAUGCGUAGCCGACCUGAGAGGGUGAUCGGCCACACUGGGACUGAGACACGGCCCAGACUCCUACGGGAGGCAGCAGUAGGGAAUCUUCCGCAAUGGACGAAAGUCUGACGGAGCAACGCCGCGUGAGUGAUGAAGGCUUUCGGGUCGUAAAACUCUGUUGUUAGGGAAGAACAAGUGCUAGUUGAAUAAGCUGGCACCUUGACGGUACCUGACCAGAAAGCCACGGCUAACUACGUGCCAGCCGCCGCGGUAA